UAGGCUCUGCUGCUUUGGAUUUCUGUUAUUGUCAUGAUGUAAGUCUGGAAGAUGAUUAUGAGAUGAUGAACAGACCUUCUUUUAACAGAAAACAGUCAGCAGGCUGCGAAUGUAUAUGUGCAGAGCUAAAGCCAGCUUCAAAAGAAGCAAGUCCUCACUGUAAUUUGGAGCAGCGCUGUAUCCUUAAUUACUUUGGAUGCCUGUAGUGGCUUCCCUGAGACGCCGUCCCACCAGCCCAGCACUACAAAAAGCACCGGCUUUGACUAGCUCACAGACCUGACCUGUCUGCUCCGCCAGGUUUGGUAGUAACAGGACAGAAACUAAUUGUCUUGAACAGAUUAUGCCACAAGGGAUUGCCCUUUGCUAAGUUCAGCUUCAGCCACUUAGUCAGAUAAAGGAUAAAAGGGAUGGUGGCUCGCGGUGCCGCCGCUUGCCCUGACUUGUGGUCUCAAGCAAUUGCACAACCAGGAUCUACCUGCGAUCACGCUCUGCGACUCGGAGGCAUUUUUAAAAGCCUCAGAUUUAUUUGUUCUGCUGGGACCUAUGUAAACAUAAACAGGAGCGCCCCUUUGGGUGACAUUCCAGAGGCCCGGCGGUGUUUGCACGCUUUCAUCUCCGAGCAGGUGACG